rnacentral:rRNA from 1 species
CCUACGGGUGACAGCAGUCGAGAAUCAUUCACAAUGGGGGAAACCCUGAUGCUGCGACGCCGCGUGGGGGAAUGAAGGUCUUCGGAUUGUAAACCCCUGUCAUGUGGGAGCAAAUUAAAAAGAUAGUACCACAAGAGGAAGAGACGGCUAACUCUGUGCCAGCAGCCGCGGUAAUACAGAGGGCUCAAGCGUUGUUCGGAAUCACUGGGCGUAAAGGGUGCGUAGGCUGUUUCGUAAGUCGUGUGUGAAAGGCGCGGGCUCAACCCGCGGACGGCACAUGAUACUGCGAGACUAGAGUAAUGGAGGGGGAAGCGGAAUUCUCGGUGUAGCAGUGAAAUGCGUAGAGAUCGAGAGGAACACUCGAGGCGAAGGCGGGUUCCUGGACAUUAACUGACGCUGAGGCACGAAGGCCAGGGGAGCGAAAGGGAUUAGAUACCCGAGUAGUC